GCUUUAUGCACCAUUGGAUGAGCCUGCACUUGAUUAGUUUGUUGGUGGGGUAAUGGCCUACCAAGACUGUGAUCAAUAGCUGAUUUGAGAGGAUGAUCAGCCACAU
rnacentral:rRNA from 1 species